GAUCGAGUUUGAUCCUGGCUCAGGAUGAACGCUGGCGGCAUGCUUUACACAUGCAAGUCGAACGGUAACAGGCCGGCAAGGUGCUGACGAGUGGCGAACGGGUGAGUAAUGCAUCGGAACGUGCCCAGUCGUGGGGGAUAACGCAGCGAAAGCUACGCUAAUACCGCAUACGAUCUAUGGAUGAAAGCGGGGGACCGUAAGGCCUCGCGCGAUUGGAGCGGCCGAUGUCAGAUUAGGUUGUUAGGUGGGGUAAAACGCCCACCAAGCCGACGAUCGUGUAGCUGAUCUGAGAGGUAUGA
rnacentral:rRNA from 1 species